rnacentral:rRNA from 1 species
GCGAGGCCGAAAGGCGUAGUCGAUGGGAAACGGGUUAAUAUUCCCGUACUUGGUGUUACUGCGAAGGGGGGACGGAGAAGGCUAUGUUGGCCGGGCGACGGUUGUCCCGGUUUAAGCGUGUAGGUGUGUGUUCCAGGUAAAUCCGGUUCACUUUAACACUGAGGCGUGAUGACGAGGCACUACGGUGCUGAAGCAACAAAUGCCCUGCUUCCAGGAAAAGCCUCUAAGCAUCAGGUAACAUCAAAUCGUACCCCAAACCGACACAGGUGGUCAGGUAGAGAAUACCAAGGCGCUUGAGAGAACUCGGGUGAAGGAACUAGGCAAAAUGGUGCCGUAACUUCGGGAGAAGGCACGCUGACACGUAGGUGAAGUGAUUUACUCAUGGAGCUGAAGUCAGUCGAAGAUACCAGCUGGCUGCAACUGUUUAUUAAAAACACAGCACUGUGCAAACACGAAAGUGGACGUAUACGGUGUGACGCCUGCCCGGUGCCGGAAGGUUAAUUGAUGGGGUCAGCGCAAGCGAAGCUCCUGAUCGAAGCCCCGGUAAACGGCGGCCGUAACUAUAACGGUCCUAAGGUAGCGAAAUUCCUUGUCGGGUAAGUUCCGACCUGCACGAAUGGCGUAAUGAUGGCCAGGCUGUCUCCACCCGAGACUCAGUGAAAUUGAACUCGCUGUGAAGAUGCAGUGUACCCGCGGCAAGACGGAAAGACCCCGUGAACCUUUACUAUAGCUUGACACUGAACAUUGAGCCUUGAUGUGUAGGAUAGGUGGGAGGCUUUGAAGUGUGGACGCCAGUCUGCAUGGAGCCGGCCUUGAAAUACCACCCUUUAAUGUUUGAUGUUCUAACGUGGACCCGUGAUCCGGGUUGCGGACAGUGUCUGGUGGGUAGUUUGACUGGGGCGGUCUCCUCCUAAAGAGUAACGGAGGAGCACGAAGGUUGGCUAAUCCUGGUCGGACAUCAGGAGGUUAGUGCAAUGGCAUAAGCCAGCUUGACUGCGAGCGUGACGGCGCGAGCAGGUGCGAAAGCAGGUCAUAGUGAUCCGGUGGUUCUGAAUGGAAGGGCCAUCGCUCAACGGAUAAAAGGUACUCCGGGGAUAACAGGCUGAUACCGCCCAAGAGUUCAUAUCGACGGCGGUGUUUGGCACCUCGAUGUCGGCUCAUCACAUCCUGGGGCUGAAGUAGGUCCCAAGGGUAUGGCUGUUCGCCAUUUAAAGUGGUACGCGAGCUGGGUUUAGAACGUCGUGAGACAGUUCGGUCCCUAUCUGCCGUGGGCGCUGGAGAACUGAGGGGGGCUGCUCCUAGUACGAGAGGACCGGAGUGGACGCAUCACUGGUGUUCGGGUUGUCAUGCCAAUGGCACUGCCCGGUAGCUAAAUGCGGAAGAGAUAAGUGCUGAAAGCAUCUAAGCACGAAACUUGCCCCGAGAUGAGUUCUCCCUGAGACUUUAGGUCUCCUGAAGGAACGUUGAAGACGACGACGUUGAUAGGCCGGGUGUGUAAGCGCAGCGAUGCGUUGAGCUAACCGGUACUAAUGAACCGUGAGGCUUAACCUU